CCCGGCCCGGGUCGCGGGGCCCUGCUCCUGGGCCUCCGCCUGCUGGGUCCGCCCUGGGGGGGGCGCCCCCCGUGCCCUCCAGGCCGGGGGCUUCCCCUGACCCUUUCGGCCCUCCCCCUCAGGUGCCCUCGCGCCCCAACCGCGCCCCGCCCGGGGUCCCCAGAAUCACUAUCAGUGACCCCUGAGGAGCGUCAGCCAUGCCGAUCGGGUCAGGCAAGUCCAUCCCGUCCUGAGAGCCCCAGGCCCCCCUUCGACCUCUAAACAGAUCCCUCCUCUUCUCGGAGACCUCCCUUUCCAAGCCUGCCUGGACGGCUGUUCUGUGACUUGACAGUGGCUCCCCCAGCCCCAAAGCCAGCCCCCUUCAUCUGUGACUUAAUCUGUUGUAGUGGUGAGCUGAUACAUUCAGGUGUGACCGUUGGUGAAAACUUGUGCCCCUUCUGUGGUAUGCCCUUGCCCUGUUCUAUAAAUAUCUAUAAAUACUCAUAUAUAUACACACCUACACAUGGCCAACCGCCUCGCCUCUAGCGCUGGGAAUCAGUCACUGUGCUAUCCUUGUGGAGUCUUGUGGCCCAACUACCAGAGAACGCUGUCCCCCGACAUCCCACUCCAAAGUGUGCCACCUCCAGUGAGCCUCCUUGUCAUGCCCGGCCUGUGGACAGCCAGCCCCCGCCAUCCCUCCCACCCCCUACCAAGCAUGGGGGUGCUGUGCAGGCAGCCGUGUGGCCUGACAGUUUCUACCAGUCCUGCUGUCCCUCGGCUGAGAAUAAAACCCAUUUCUGG
rnacentral:lncRNA from 1 species